AUGCUGUUGCAGCUGUCAAAAGAUAAAGCAAACAUGCAACACAGAUACGUAGAACUCUUCUUAAAUUCUACAGCAGGAGCAAUCAGUGGUGCUUAUGGUAGCCAAAUAAUGGGAGGCAUGGGCUUGUCAAACCAGUCCAGUUACAGCGGCCCAGCUAGCCAGCAGCUGAGUGGUGGCUACGGAGGUGGCUAUGGCGGCCAGAGCAGCAUGAGCGGAUAUGGCAGCCAAGCAGCAGUGAACAGCAGCUACUACAGUAGUGGAAGCCAAGCAUCUGUGGGGGUGAAUGGAAUGGGAGGGGUAUCUAGCAUGUCCAGCAUGAGUGCUGGAUGGGGAAUGUAUUUGAUCCUGAUCACUGACUCUUGGUCAACUUUUUUUUAAAGGAAAAAACAGAUCUUCAGUUUAACAGUUUUCACAGUCUGAGCUUGUGAUUUAUAAUUACUGCUAUCAGUGGAAAUGAGGAUUGUUUUAAAGACUCAAGGUUCAGUAUUUUUGAACACAAGUUAUCCAGGGUGUAACAUCGAAGUAAACUUUAACUGUUAAACAAUUUUCAGCUUUUCUCAAGUUAGUAAUAUUAUAGGAUUACUUAAGUAGUAAGUGUAUUUGGGUUAAAGCAGUUGAAUUAUGUUAAAUGUUGCUCUUAUGUCACAUUACAUGGAACACUGUUUGGAUGCAUGUUGAAAAGACAUGCUGUUUUGUAAAAUUCAAUAUAGGAGCUGUGUCUGCAAUUAAAAGUGAAACAUUUGGCAUGUUUGUUAAUUCUACUUUCAUUUAGUAACUUGUAAGGCACGUAAAGUUUAAGCUUUUUUUUUUUAAGUUAAUGGGUAAAUUUGAGACGCAAUACCAAUACUGUAGGAUUUGGUGUUGGUGUUUGUAUGAAAUUCUGAGGCCUUGAUUUAAAUCUCAUUGUAAUGUGAUUUCCUUUCAGGUGUAUUGCACUAAGUGAAAUUUUCAAAUACAUCUUUUACAAACUGAAAAAAAAAAAAAAGGUGUUGGUUUCAGAGAUGUUAAAAAAAAAUGAAGAAUAAUUGCUUUUUUAAAUCAGCUAAUGGUAGUUGGUCUGGUUUGGAGACCCAGUCAUCCAUGUGAUCAAGUGAACCAUAGGUGAUUCUGUAUCUCUUUGCCAUGCAUCUUAUUCAGUCAUUCUUUCAUUCAUUCAAUAAGCACACUUUAACCCUUAAAAUAAGCUCAAGUGCUAUAUAG
rnacentral:lncRNA from 1 species